rnacentral:rRNA from 1 species
UACAUGUGGGGCAAGCGUUGCUCGGAUUGACUGGGCGUAAAGGGCGCGUAGGCGGUUCGUACAGUCAGACGUGAAAUUCCUGGGCUCAACCUGGGGGCUGCGUUUGAUACGUGCGGGCUUGAGUUCGGAAGAGGGUCGUGGAAUUCCCAGUGUAGAGGUGAAAUUCGUAGAUAUUGGGAAGAACACCGGUGGCGAAGGCGGCGACCUGGUCCGAUACUGACACUGAGGAGCGAAAGCCAGGGGAGCAAACGGG